rnacentral:rRNA from 1 species
UCGGGAAUAUUGCGCAAUGGAGGAAACUCUGACGCAGUGACGCCGCGUAUAGGAAGAAGGUUUUCGGAUUGUAAACUAUUGUCGUUAGGGAAGAAAAAGACAGUACCUAAGGAGGAAGCUCCGGCUAACUACGUGCCAGCAGCCGCGGUAAUACGUGGGGAGCGAGCGUUAUCCGGAUUUAUUGGGUGUAAAGGGUGCGUAGACGGGAUAUGCAAGUUGGUUGUGAAAUCCCUCGGCUUAACUGAGGAACUGCAACCAAAACUGUAUAUCUUGAGUACAGGAGAGGUAAGUGGAAUUCCUAGUGUAGCGGUGAAAUGCGUAGAUAUUAGGAGGAACACCAGUGGCGAAGGCGGCUUUCUGGACUGAAACUGACACUGAGGCACGAAAGCGUGGGUAGCAAACAGGAUUAGAUACC